CUUGAACGCUGGCGGCAGGCCUAAUACAUGCAAGUCGAACGAGUGGCGGACGGGUGAGUAAUGUCUGGGACACUGCUUGAUGGAGGGGGAUAACUACUGGAAACGGUAGAUACUACCGCAUACCAUCAGAUGUGCCCAUAUGGGAUUAGCUAGUUGGUGGGGUAAAGGCUCACCAAGGCGAAGAUCCCUAGCUGGUCUGAGAGGCUGACCAGCCACUCUGGAACUGAGACACGGUCCAGACUCCUACGUGAGACAGCAGUGGGGAAUAAUGCACAAUGGGGGCAAGCCUGAUGCAGCCAUGCCGCGAGAAUGAAGAAGGCCUUCGGGUUGUAAAGUACUUUCAGCGGGGAGGCGUUACCCGCAGAAGAAGCACCGGCUAACUCCGUGCCAGCAGCCGCGGUAAUUC
rnacentral:rRNA from 1 species